AGACAGUCAGAUCUCAGGAUCCUUUUGGUGGCAUCCAAGUGUCCAUCAACAAUCUGGUUCUCCGCUCUUCUCAAAGUCCUGAACAGGGACCUGUGGCAGCUCAAAAGGAGAAUGGACCUCAGCGGUAGAAAUGGUGCUCCUAAUAAGUGCUGUCGUAGCCUAAGAAGUAGCACACUAAAGAUGCUGGAAUCAGCUGUGUGAACAGAGAUUCCUCAUAACCCUCACUUGUCUGCAUUCCUCUGCUCCGCACUUCCUCUUCCUUGAUGGCUGUUGAUUUACAGGAUGAAAUAUUCAAAUGAGUUUUACAGAGCAUUUAAUGGAGAUGAUGUAACUAAUUAUGAUGACUGACUUUGUACACAAAGACAUAUGAAACCAAUAUUUCUUCUACUGUCUACUUUGUCAUUUACCUGAAUGCUAAAAUCAACCCAAGCAUUUCACAAAUGGUUUCUGACAGUAAACUGUCAUUUAAAAAAAAAGUGAGCUGAAAGAGGGACAAAGUUGUAAAAAUUCAAAAGCUGCAAUGAUAGAUUGGUUUGCAGCUGGUUGAAUACCUCUAUAUCUCCUACAUACUCGGAUGAUAUGUAACACUUGUUUGCUUAUGUGACAAACAGGUUUAAAGUUUCUGUGGCCAAAACUCUUAAAGAGCGAAACUAAACUUUCACACUCUGUGACAAUAUACAGUAAAUACAACUGAAAGAAGACGCCAGUAUGUGUUGAGGUAUGCAUUUACUGAUCUGAACAGCGUUAUCACUUAACAGACAUCCAUGUACUUGUUUAAAAAAAUAAUAAUCAGUGGACAAAUCAGUGCUCAAAGGUCACUCAGCUCUAAAUCUCCACACUUAAAAAGAACUUUAGUAAAAAGAAAACCUAAAAAAAAAAAGCAUGUUUCUCUGCAGUUCUAACAGUAGAAAUCAAUAUUUUAAAGUGUUUCGUUAACACAUACACUCACCAGCCAGUUUUUUUAGGCACACCUGUUCAAUGCUAAGUAAGCAUACUUAAUCCAUACUGCUUCACAUUGUUAACAGCAGCUCAACACUCAAAUACUUGUUACAACCCCACAAAACAGUCAUUCCAGCACCUUGUAGAAUCCAUGCUAUUAAACAGUGAGCCAGUUCUGAUGGGAGAAGUGGCUCCAACUCAGUACUAGCAAGGUGUACCUAACAACGUGGCCAGUAAGAGUAGAUUAUGAAUAGGAAAA